UGUUUGGAAGAGGGAAGCAUGGUAUUGUCCUCGCACCUCUGCACAUUUCAUUGGAGUCCUGAUUGAGAAACUCUGUUUCCUGUUCAAUCUUGUGUCGUGAUGGGGGUGCAGAGAGGUCGGAUAAAGGAGGGAGAGGAGGAAUAAAGUAUUUGAAGGGGACCACAGAGGGAGUCAGUUCUCCAGCCCAGAGUCCAGCGAACAGAGCGGCUUUGUGUCCUCCAGCUCAAGGAAUUCUCCUUCACUUUAUGAUCAACACGCUCUUGAUCCUCACAAUCACAUGCUGCUUUAAAUAUCUGAGGAGC